UACAGAGGUCUCAAGCGUUGUUCGGAUUCAUUGGGCGUAAAGGGUGCGUAGGUGGCGAGGUAAGUUGGAUGUGAAAUCCCGGGGCUCAACUCCGGAACUGCAUUCAAUACUGCCUUGCUAGAGUACUGGAGAGGAGAUUGGAAUUUACGGUGUAGCAGUGAAAUGCGUAGAUAUCGUAAGGAAGACCAGUGGCGAAGGCGGAUCUCUGGACAGUUACUGACACUGAGGCACGAAGGCCAGGGGAG
rnacentral:rRNA from 1 species